UCACAAGGCUUUCUGGAGUUAUUCAGAGGCAAGGAAGGCAACGUUUAGGCCAGCAGAUUUUCUGAACAGACUCUCAACACCAUCAGCAGGGGAGCUGCAGGUGCUAUUGCUGCACAAAACAGAGAGGGAGUGAACUGGUGUGUGGUGCUGAGCUGCCUGCCAACUAAUGCACAGCUUGAGAAGGCACUGGACCCUUGUACUCAUGUUUGUCUAAAAGAUGUGUGGAAAAUGCUACGUUGCAUCUCAGAUGCUGGGCUGGAACUGAGUUUUCCUGGAGAAGUCUGACCAUCUGGAGAAGUAGAACCUCUUGUCUCAUUGCCAGUAGUGAUGCUCUGAUUAUGCUUGUUAAGUGCGGACAGAUAAAGCAUUGACCACUGCACCCAUUCAUUAUGGCUUUGUAUUUUUUUUUUUUUUUUGGUAGAUUCCUAAAAGCAGAGCUGCUUGCAAAACAAAUGGAAGAAAUUGCCUUCAUUGGGCUUCCCUCCUCACCCCUCAAUGAGAACCUCUGGAGUUGUACCAUGCAGCCCCAUUGCUUCAUGCAGCAGUGCUCUGGCUGUGAGUUCCAGUAAUCUCACUACCCAGUGAGUAUUU